rnacentral:misc_RNA from 1 species
UCGUAACAAGGUUUCUGUAGGUGAACCUGCAGAAGGAUCAUUAGUGAAAGUUUCGGGCCUGCCAUACGGACGCAAACACGUCUCUGGCGCCCAUCACUAUAUCCAUACCAACCCCUGUGCACUGUGAUGACGAAUGUCAUCGAACAAAAAAAAACUCGUAUGGUUGAAUGUACGUGAAAUUGUAGGUAUAGCCUACGAACUAUACACAACUUUCGACAACGGAUCUCUUGGUUCUCCCAUCGAUGAAGAACGCAGCGAAACGCGAUAGGUAAUGUGAAUUGCAGAAUUCCGUGAAUCAUCGAAUCUUUGAACGCACCUUGCGCUCCAUGGUAUUCCGUGGAGCAUGCCUGUUUGAGUGCCGCGAAUUCUCCCUCCCCUUACGGUGGCCGAAAGGCCGAAGUAGGGCGGACGGGGUAGGAUGGGUGUUUGCUGCCUGGGGAUUGUACCAGGCUCGCCCGAAAUGCAUAAGCGCCAGGACCCUCGCUACCGCUCUCUAGGGAAGAGUGGCUAAGCGACCGCUGAGCAUGGCAUGAUACGUCAUUUGCUGUGUGUGGGCGGCCGGUUGGAGAGGUGUCUGCUUUACCAGCCCUAUUUUAAUUCUGGUCUCAAAUCAGGUAGGAUCACCCGCUGAACCUAAGCA